UGCCCGUGCCCAGGCCUCGCCGCUGCCGGUAGGGCCGGGGUGUGUCGCGGGCACGCGCGCUCGGCGGCAGGAGCGGAGGCGGAGGCGGAGGCGGAGGAAGCGUGUCGAGGCCGCCUCAGGCCCGCUCCGACACCCCGCGGCACCGACACGAUGGAGGCCGGGUCUCUGCACAGCCGCAGGAGCGGGGGGGGGCAGGAGCAGCCCGGUGUGUCCGGUCCGCACUCCAGAGCCGCCCCCGCGCAGACACGCGGCCGGCUGAGAGAGGGUCGUCCUCGGCUGCGAGGGGUUGCCCACGGCGCUACGACUUGUUGUGAAGCAUUUACAGCUGCUCCACUUAUGCAUAUUUUCCAACAGGCAGGAUCUUUUGAAAACGAUACCUAAUGUUAUAUUAUUAAAAUGGCUAUCCAUACAAGGCAGAGUGUAAAAAUGAAAAUGCUGACAGGUAUUUUUUAAUCUUUUGAGAUUUUAACUAACAUUUCAUUGAUAUUUAUGUUUUAUUAAUUAUCUCUGUAAGCAAAUACAAAUUGACGUAUUAUGCAUCUACGAGACAAGGGUUGCUCAAUUUCCAUCCCCUGGGCCAAAUGCAGCCCCAUGGAGCCAUCACAUCUGGCUUGUGGGGCUCCCCAUGGGUCUGGGGAAUUGGCAGCAAGCGAGUGGUGGCCAUGAACACAGCCUCCCCACCACUUCCCCUGCCAAAUCCCCAAGCCCCAGUACCUGCAUGGCUGGUCUGAGCCAAGCUAUGCCUCUUUCCCCCGUGGGCCUGGGCCACGUUCCCCCACUUCGGGAUCAGGGUUGGACCGUGUCCCCUUCCUUUCCUGCAGGGCCAGGUUGGGCCAGGCCACGCACUCUUUCCCUCCCUACAGGGUCACCUGGCUAGCCUUCUUUCCCUCUUGACAAGGAUGGGUCAAGCUCCUUUCCCCAUCAGGGCUGUGUUGAAGCCAGUUUGUCCCCCACCUGGCCAGAUGGUGCCCACCCACGUGCCAGAGCAGGAACACCUGGAUCCAGCCCAUGAAUGUAUUGGCCACUGGCAGUCUGGCCUGCUGUGUUGGGGCUGCACUGUACUAUCGGUGGUCCAUUAAAACAAUUUUAAAGAAACGAGUCAUGGAAUCACAGAUUAUGCGAUCAUAAUUUUAUCACUACUUUAUAUUUUCCUUUCAAAGGAAAAACUAGAAGUACUCUGUGACAGGCUCACAGCCACAGGGGCUGCCAUGACACCCCUAGCAGCCUUGCUGCUCCUGCCUGGCUCCAGCUCUAAUGUCACUCUCUCUUCAUUGUUCACCAGCCGUGCCUUGCUCUUAAUAUUACAGGAUGAUUCAAGGAGGCUGCUAGCAGGCCUUAGAGUGAGCCCGAAUCCAGUAAGUUUCCCCUGGGUCUGAGGCCCCAUUGGCCACUAUCCAGACAUCCAACCUUGGUAGGUUCCUCUCGGCCUGACUACAGGUGCCCUACAGGGACCUAGCCUUAAGGGCAAACGGUGUGGUUCCUUUUCCUCCCCUACUCCACGCCCUAAGCCUCAGAGGUGUUCUCCCUUUGAUUUUCCUUCUUAUACACUCUGCCCCCUUGAGCUCCCAGACCCCUCCACCGCCCAGCCCUGGACACAGGUGGCUCUGGGCCUCUUGGACCUCGUGAUCUGGGUCUCAGCCUUUUUUCAGUUCUGGGACCCCUCCCUGGGUCCCACCCUCAGUGUGAGGGCUCCUGGGAUACUGGCUCUCUAAGCAAGCCUUGAGUCUGCACCCCCAGGGUUCAAGGCUAAACAUAAAUCAAUAAGAAACAUCACCGCUGUCUGGCAGACACCUCAGUCUUUAGAGGUGUAACAUAAAGACCACUUGCCUGUAAACCCAGUCUUCCUCAGUCCAAGAAACUUGCCUCUGUUUCCAGACCUGUAGAGUUGUUCAGCCAAAAUCCAGUUCCCUUCAGGGACCCGGAGCCAGGAGUUCUGCACUGUGCAGUAGCUGGGGGGAAACGAAGAGACUGGUGCAGACUCGGGGCUCAUGUAGCUCCAGCCUGAGCCCUCUUCCAGCCAGGUGAGUCCCUCAUUAGCUCCCCCCUGCCCCCUAAAAGCAGCCUCUCAGGCUGCUUGCUCUCCUAAAGGGUCAGGCACAUCCCAGUGCCCUGCUACAUAUUCUGUAUACUAGCUAACCAUGAUAGUUGAUUACUGUGUUAAUUAUUUGUACGUCCUUCCAUGAGGAGAGGUGACAAUCCUGACUAAAGUUCUGUUGUAGCAGAUGCUGUACAAAUGCAAAUAAAGACUUAGGGUGUGUGUAAAUGAAAUGAAAA